AAUCCGUCGAUUUCAAAAAUCGUGAGGGUUCAAGUCC
rnacentral:tRNA from 13 species